GACGGAGGGUGCAAGCGUUAAUCGGAAUUACUGGGCGUAAAGCGCGCGUAGUCGGUUUUUUAAGUCGGAUGUGAAAGCCCCGGGCUCAACCUGGGAACUGCAUCCGAUACUGGAAGACUAGAAUGCGGGAGAGGGAGGUAGAAUUCCAUGUGUAGCAGUGAAAUGCGUAGAUAUAUGGAGGAAUACCAGUGGCGAAGGCGGCCUCCUGGCUCGACAUUGACGCUGAGGUGCGAAAGCGUGGGGAGCAAACGGG
rnacentral:rRNA from 1 species